UCUCUCUCUUGACGUAUUUUCAUACACACACGUACGUGCAUAUGCACAGGAACUCUCAGUAAUCAAUCGUCGAAUAGAUUUUAAUAAAAACACCGAUUAUUACAUUCGAUCGUCUUGAAAAAACAUACAAGAAAUUAAAUCUUUGGUCGUAAAAACAUGCAGAAAAAAAAACAGACAAGCUGGAAAAGGAAGAGAGAAAGAGUCAUCGUACCGCCAUAGAUCUUCGUUCGAUUCCUUUCGCAAGGACGGGAUAGGUUAGCACGAAAGAUCUAAGAGACAUGCGUGCCGACGACUGCUCGUGUAAAUUUCAUAUUUAAAUUUAUACGAACAAUGUGUAACUACUCGGAGGCCUAAAUCGUUGCAUUUAAAACGUUCGAAUUCUUUCGUUCCGCAUCAUGAACGUGGCUAUUUUUUUUCUCGUACAUACGUGGCGGUGAAGUGUACGAAGAAGUGAGAGCGAAGAAUGAGAGAGAGAAAUAGAUAGAUAGACAGAUAGAGAGAGAGAGAGAGAGGGAGGGAGAGAGAGAAUCAUCGAAGCUAGGUAUCGCGUAUUAUAUUCGACGUAAGUUAAUUACCUUGCGCGAGUAACGAUAAGCACGACGAAAGCGGGCCUCUGCUAGAAGUCGUCGGUGCGCUCCAUUAAACUACACUGCACUGCACUUUACAUGGGCCGGCGCGAAGCUCGCUUUUCAUAUCCAAAAGAAACUCGAUCGGUAGAACACCGGUAUGAACGUGCGCGCGAGAACAGCUCGCUUUUCUUUUUUUUUAUGCGACAGGUUAAUGUGCGUUGAGAAGAAAAAGAACUGUGAAGAAUGGAUGACGCGCGCGCGAGAAGAAGUGAAGGAGAGAGAGAGAAAACCGUGGAAAAGUAUUAACGAUGUACGAAAAAGAAGUAAUGAUCACAAAUGUCCGAAAAACAUACGUUUUACAAAUGUAAAAUUGACGACGACGAUGAGAACUACGGAGACAGCCGUGGCUCGUUCCGGAGGAUGGGCCACGGUGCUUCUGACCGGCACGUUAAACAACGCGACCACUCUCGGCUACCUUCGGCAUGGUUCGGGCGUAGCCAGGUGGAAGUCGGAUUAUGGAGGAGGUGGAAAGUAGCAGCGGUAUGAAUCGUAUGUCGGUGUACGAUCGUACGGUAUGCACUAUAAAGGAUCGAAUUAUUCACAACUUUGUCGCCUUCUACCCCAUUUUAUUUGUUUAGAUUUUAUUUUGGAUCUUUUUAGCGCGCUUUUGGAACAACACAUUUGUCUGUCAGUACACAUCGUUUUUCUAUACGAAAUACAGAAAAUUAUUUUUAUUAGGUUUUCACUUUACUUUAAGGAAUUUAGAUGAUUCUAUUGAUGGUAAUUAGAAAUACGGGCUUUCAAAUGUUUAUCGUUUGCCAUUGAAAUUUUACAAAGAUCUUACAAUGUUUCUAGGCGUCGUCUUUGUUUUAUAUUUCAAAACUAAACGAUAAAGAAGGUUUGAAU